AGGGAGACACAGAAUCGGAAACAGGCUCCAGGCUCCGAGCCAUCAGCCCAGAGCCUGACGCGGGGCUCGAACUCACGGACCGCAAGAUCGUGACCUGGCUGAAGUCGGACGCUCAACCGACUGCGCCACCCAGGCGCCCCUAGACCCAUCUUUUCUGGGAAGCUGCUUUGUGCACGAAUCAAGAGCGGGUGGUCUUAACAGAGGCUCAGCCAGCAGACCCUAGCUGCCUUAUUAAGGUGGAGGAUCCUUCUCUUCUUUCCAGAAUUCCCAGUGUGGUGGGCCCCAGCCGCCAGGCCAUGCACCGUCGUCUCCUGCUUUCUUUUCCCAGACCAGCGUGGUAUACGGUGGUGGUGGCGUGCUUGUGUGUGUUCAUCUGAGCCAAAUUCAACCUCACGGGUUGAGCCAGGGCCCCUGAGCCCCGCUGCCCGCCUGCACUGCCACGGUGCCCCUUCUACACGGGGCCAGCCAGACCCAAGGUCGGGUCCCAGCGGCCCUCUUCUCAGCCCUGUGGCUUGGGCGUGUUUCUUUCACUCUCUGGGUUUCGGUUUUCUUAACUGUAAAAUAACAUACGCAAAGCCCUUGACACAGAAUGGGUUUCCCAUGAUGGCAGCCCUUGAUGACUGUGAUGGCUCUGUGAUUCCAGACGGCCAGGAUUGUUGUGGGGUUCCAGAGAGCCCGAAGACAGUCACUGUGGCGCCGAGCGUGGACGGCUGGGUCGGAUCCCAGAGCCAGAUCUGCCGCCCCCGUGGGCGGCACCCUUGUUUCUAGAGAGACCUUCGUCGUGUCUCUUGUGAACCCUUUGCCUGGCAUCUCGGCCUGCGCACGUCAUCUAUCCCCUCUGUCCCUCCCUCUCCAUCCUGAUGGCCCCUUCAUCUCCAGUCGGAUCAGAGCCCGUGGGAAUUCCCACCUAGAUACUUCUGACCCCCAACUCGGAAGAAGUGUCCAGACCACGUGCGUCCUUCCAAGUCGACCAUCACUUUCGCCACAGAAGGGUCACCCCAGCCUCCAGGACUCUCUAGAGCUGGUUGGGAGAGCUCAUUCCCUCAGUUUGGAACUUGGUCCUAUACUCCCCUGAUUGCACCCUACCUCUGUGUGUAUUCCCACAUGCAGAGACCUCCGGGAAGGGUGGCUCGGAUGGGAUACGGACGACAGACAGCAGGCUCCAAAGCCCCACAGAUACACUGAGGUGGUGAAGCCAUGUCUUUGAGAUUAAGUAGAACAGAUAUGAGUGUAAAGUGGAUUCUCAGGUCCAGUGCACCAAGGUCUCAAAAAUACAGGACACGGGAGACAAUUUUAUGACAGUGCGUAAGGAAACACAUUCCGGGAGGGAUGAGCACGAGGUCGUAUGUGUCAUCAUGAGUGCGGUGUGGUGGCCAGGAAAGCUGCCUCACUCCUGGGCUCCCGAGUGGAGAAGCUGCCUCUGCCCCUGGAGCUGUGCUGGGCUCCGCCGUACGUUGGCCAACACAGGGUGCUGACGUCUGUUCUCGGACCCUUACCGAAGGGGAUAAGCAAGGGGCCGGGGCUUAAAUUCACGUCUUAGGAGGAAUAAGAUAACGGGAAGGUCACAACAGAGGAGUCUUGGGGUUUACGUAAGCUAUUUUUAGAUAUUUAAAAGGAUUACUGGAGGGAAGAGCAUUAAGUUCUUAUUUUGUGUGGUUCUGGUGGGCAGUGGGUGGAAGUUUUCACUCUAGCCCUGUGAGAACUAGUCAGACUGUCCAAAAUGAAAAUGAUGGCUUUGGUAAAAGUAGUGAGUUCUCUGUCACUGGAGGCGUGCAAGCAGAAUCUUGACCAACUUGAUUAAGGUGUUAGUAAUGUGCACUGUGGUGCUCAGAGUGUACCUCAUAUGGGCCUUGAUGCAGCCACCAAAUCCUGGGCAGCCGAGCCGGAUAAGACCCUGGUGAGUCUGUGAUCCAGCUGCCUCAUUUUGCAAAUGGGAAAACAGUCUUUGCACCACCUUGGUGCCAAAUAAAUAUUCCUUGCCUUCUCCUGGCUUAUUUAAUGAAGCCAACUGCAGAAGGAGGCCCCUCACACUCUAGCAUCUAGGGGCCUUAUGAUGCCCCCAGCUUCUCUGACCUUGGGGGUGAUGGCCUGGGCCUCCACGUCAAACAUGACUUCGCACUGCCAGGGGGCCGCGUCUGCUGCAGCCCCCCGGCCACGUAGAGCAAAAAGAGCACAUCCAAGUGAGGCCAACAAGGGCCCGCUCCCAGCAGGUCUGUCCUGGAUGCCGUUCUGCUGGGAGGGUCGUGGCGUGUGACUCAUUACCUGCCGGGGCCUCUGUAUUAGAAGCGUGGAUCCGGCUCUUCUCCCGGGGGCAAUUUGAAAGGAAGGAGUGAAAGCCGACGAGGUCCCAUCCACUCCAGUCCCGUCUUUCCUGUUACAUUUGCAGCCCAGCACUGGCCAAGACUGGGGAUUGGGUAAUUCAUACUUAGAGCUCAGAUUCCCGGAACAAGUUUCCAUGCUGGGUCUCCACGCACAGCUCGGCUGCACACACUCCGUGAAGCUUCAGGAGCUGAGAUGUUUUCUUUUCUUCAGCUUUUGUGAAGUAGGUCAUUUUGAGUGUGAAGCAUGUGAAGAAUUAUGUUUUCCCUCUUCUGUCCGCUACGCCUCCACCCAGAAGUCCUGUGGUUGGAGAGUUACGGACUCAGAAUCUGUACCCAUGACUAUGACGUGAUUCGAGUGCAAGAGUCAUUUGCAGGGAGGACGGAUACUGAACUCUGAGGAGUCGGGCUUUUAGUUGGUCCAGGUUCAGGGAUGUAGCUGGUGAUAGGGAGUAAACUUGAGCAGAUGAUGCUUAAUUGUAAUUGACUGUGUGGAUAAAUGUGAGCCCACCUGCUGGGCUGGCUGCUUACCCCCAGCUCCUCUAGUGGCGGAGGUGGCCCGUGGUGCCCCGAUCUUCUGGACUUUAUGAAACCUGGAUCUGCCUGUUGUGCUCAGGUACUGGUUUUCAGAGGACCGGACUUAGGGAGCCGGUGCACGGUGGCCCCAUCUUAGACCUAGCUGUCCGAAUUCUCUGCAGUUCCACUGCCUUAGGAAAUGUUCACCCUUCGGACGCCUGGCUGGCUCAGUUGGUAGGGCACGUGACUCUUGAUCUUGGGGUUGUGGGUUUGAGCCCCACGUUGGAGGUAGGGUUUACUUUGAAAAAGUGAUAAUUUAAACAAAUAAAUUUAAAUUUUUUUUUUUUUUUUUUUUUUUUUUUAAAGGGAAGGAAGCAUUCACCCUUACUGGGAAAGUCUUGGGAGCCACUGAGACCACGGAGCCCUGUGGUGGAUGGUGGAAGGGGUUUGCUUUUCAGUGGACACCAGCACAGUUUGAUUCCAGCGUGUCAUUUCCCCACUGCGGGUGUCCCUGGAGCUUUCAGGGGCACCGCUGCCUCAUGGUUCAAGACUUUCCAGGGUGGCUUCUCCCCAGUUCCCCUGCAGAGUGUCCCUGUGUUGUCCCCAGCUAAGACAUCAUUCAUCCCCUUCACCUGAGUCUAUGUGGGUUUCAGGACCAAGAAAAGCCUCUGCUCUCGUCUUCAGGCCUUCAUGUUUUAAAGUUCUCAGAGCUGGGGGCACCUCGGUGGCACGGUCGGUUAAGCACCUGCCUGUUGAUCUCAGCUCAGGUCCUGAUCUCCCAGUUUGUGAGUUUGAGCCCUGUGUCGGGCUCUGCACUGACGGCACGGGGUCUGCUGGGGAUUCUGUCUCUCCUUCUCUCUGCCUCUUCUCUGUUUGUGCAUGCUCUAAAUAAACAAACAAACAAAUUAAAAACACAUUUUUUUUUUAGAUAAAUAAAGUUCUCUGAGCUGCCCACUUGACCAGAGAGCCCACCGCAGGAACUCUGGGCCUUGCCUCCCGAGCUCACACAGCGGUGUCGUGGCAGUUGGUAUGGGGCCCGUCCUCCCUCCCUCCCUGGAGGGCUGGGGCUUUAGAAAUGAUCAAGCGCUGGUCUGCUCUCGGUCCCGGCACAUUGGAUCAUUCAUUCACAUUGACGUGCGAGGCCCAAGAGCGGGUCGCUGGCGAUGGUAGAACCACCUUAUUGAAACGGCAUGUUCGCAUUUAAACAAUAUUAAUACUAUUUGACUCAUUAAAUAUACAAAGGCCAGUUAAAGUGCUUCCAUGUGUGUGCUGUUAGUUCUGGCGGGCGACUCCUCAGAUGGCUUUAUGUGGUUUCAGACAACAUUUUAGCACAUUCUUAAAAUACCCACAAAAGCCUUUAUGUAAAAACUCAUAAAUGUGAACCACAUAAAAAUUAUUUUUUUCCUGUUUCAUGUCAUUAUGAUCAAAGUACAGUAGGUAAGAAUAAAUUUUCAAAAACUU